AUCCUACAUUUUGGAAGUACUUACUCCUGAGGUAACCCUAUUAAUCCUAAAAAAGACAGAGGGCUUCCACAGGUUCCAGGCAGAAACGGCUUUGCAAACAAAGGGACAUUUGGGAGCAUCCACAGAUUCUGAUCCUGAAUGGUUUUGAUGACAAAGGGAUGCCUCCUGUUGCUGCACCACACAUUGUGCUACUGUCUGGACUUUUCUCUGUGCCCCCUUCCCUGUUAUCUUUAUCAAAUUUGUUGUAUAAUACAGUCUAAAAAGUCACUUUGCAGAACUAAUAUAGUUACUUAUUUUGUACAGCAUAACCUUUUGAGUUAUGUGACACCGGCAACGGUAAAUGGCAGUGAGCCCAGCCCACACAUCAGAGAAGUGUCAGCUCUUAUUUUGAAAAGGGCUUAUUGAGGGGGCGUGACAUCACAUUGAAGCAAUACCCCUGAUUGGCUGACUACACGUGUGGAUCGUAGUCACACACUCUGCGGAAAGAUAGUGCCAAAAAGAUCUGUAGACGUGUGGAGAGGGAUCUGUGAAUGCCCUGUGAUCUGCAAACACAGAUUCAACACUUGCAUGCUGAGCUUUGCACAGAAUGUGUACGAAUGUCUUUUUACAGUGGUUUGAAAAUA